rnacentral:lncRNA from 1 species
AUGACUGCACCCCAGACCUGUGAAAGGUGGGGAACACAUUUAGUGUGGUUGGGGCCCUUACAUCCAUCCCCUUUCUACAAUUCCGAGCUUUUAUCUGAAGAGAAGGAACAGCCACGCCCCAGGCCCGAGGUGAUGGGCAGCCACUUUUGUGGCUUGCUGCGUGAAUCUAGAUGUUCACAUCUUCAGACUAUCCCAGGCCUUUCCCUACAAAGCGGACACCCAGGAAGAACAGGCAAAAGUGGAAGGUGAAAUUCAAGGAGCUAGAAGGUAUUAUGAGGGAGAGUCCCACCUUUCUUCUUACAAUACCAGACACCUCUUCUGAUGUACAGUAGCCGGCACUGGCAUCUUGCCAGGGAGAUAAGCCACACAUGUUGCCUAGAGGGUGUGAGUGCCAGCUGGACCGUGGGUUACAUUAGAACGCCCAUCUCUCCUCCUCUUUUAAUGUUCCUGGCUCUUUGCCCUGAAAGAAUAUGAUCUAGUUGGCCCUUCCUUCAAAAGCACCAAAGGAUACCAAGUCAGCAUUGAAGGGUCUUCUUCCUCUAGGGGGAAGCACCAGGCUAUCCACCCAGGAGGAAGUGACCAUUUAAAGUCUCAUUGAAACACAUCCAUCCCUGGGUCUAUGUUCCCAGGAGUCCUCAAUAUUGAUGCUCUCAGAUUCCUCGAGGAGCAAAGGCAGUGGUGGUUAGGGGUCAAGGGCAGAGAGUGGUCAAUUUCUUCCAGGAACAAGAGGAACCCGAGAUGUUUGUCACAACUGCUGUUGGCAGAGCUUAUUUGAGCUGGAUAAAGUCACUUCCAGCAGGGUUCGUGGUGAAUAGCUCAGCCAACCAUGUUCAUGAAGGUGUCUUGUAGAGAGCAAAACUUGGUCACAUUGUGUCUUCUUUAUUCUCAGCCUGGUGAUAGGGUAACUCCACGAUGACAUUCCCAAUAUAAGCUGGCUCCACAUGGGAGUCAUUUGCUGCUCUCUAUUGCUAUUUUGCAAUAUUUAGAAUGAAGUAUUUUUAAUUCUGUUUGUCCUGAGUUUUGCUGGUUCAUUUUCUCUCCUCACUACCUAUGAGGGAGACAUUACCCCCUUUGAAAUCCCACAGCCUCACCAUUCAAGCAGGGCUACUCUCUUUCACUCUUACUAGAAUUUUACUGAAAGGUCAAUUAAUUGGGGGUUGAGGGUAGGGGGUGGGUAGGGGUGUAUUUCCACUGCAUGAUCAGCUCUUCAUCUAUGUCUCUUACCUUCUCCUUCUGAUCUUCUAUCCAC